rnacentral:RNase_P_RNA from 1 species
GCUAAACAGCCGCAGGCAGCUUUUGAAAAAAACUGCGCGAGGAAAGUCCGGGCAUCACAGAGCAAGGAUAACGGCUAACGACCGCCGGGGGCGACCCCAGGGAUAGUGCAACAGAAAAUUACCGCCUGUUUUUUCAGGCAAGGAUGGAAAGGUGAGGUAAGAGCUCACCGGAGGUCAGGAGACUGACCUGCCGUGUAAACCCUAUCCGAUGCAACACCGUGGAGGGACAUUCGCGCUUGCUCGGCGCGUCCCGUGGAGGUGGCACUGAGCAGCUCCGGCAACGGACUGCCAAGAUAGAUGGCUGUUCACGACAGAACCCGGCUUAUCGGCAUA